UGGCGGACGGGUGAGUAACGCGUGAGAAUCUGCCUUCUGGUCGGGGACAACCAUUGGAAACGAUGGCUAAUACCGGAUGAGCCUACGGGUAAAAGAUUUAUUGCCAGAAGAGGAGCUCGCGUCUGAUUAGCUAGUUGGUGGGGUAAAAGCUCACCAAGGCAUCGAUCAGUAGCUGGUCUGAGAGGAUGACCAGCCACACUGGGACUGAGACACGGCCCAG
rnacentral:rRNA from 1 species